UAAGGGAAAUAGGGAGCCAUUGAAAGGGAGAGACUGGCGAGGUUUAAAGCCCUCGUGAUCUUAAGUGGCGUCCUGGAUACCUUUCAGAGAGCAAACCGUCCAGGGCUCAGAUUUCGGGGUACUCACGAAGAUCUUCGGAUAUCAGCCUCACACGGAUAGGGCUUUCUGCCCCUGGACACAAUGAUGGGCUUAAGACUCUUGCAGAUACAGAAAAAAAAAUUUACCAAAAAUGAGCAGAGAAUCCUGACCUACCAAAGCGAGGCACUGACAUUGCCUGUAACAGAGGUAAUGAAGAAUAAGGCAGACUUCUUGGAGGAUGGUGGCUCCACUACCUAGAGAUGAAGGAAGGGCGGAGAAUACAGCCUUUCCUUAGCCCUCCGAGGGCACAACAGUUGGCUCCGAGUCCUCUUCAGGCGUGUCCUGACAUACACACGAGGACUAAUUUAAAAGCCUCACUGAGAAAAAUGAAUGACUUCAGUCCUUGACACUUUCCAAGUUCUUUCCCCUAGCUCGCCCGGGAAAUGCACCCCAUUAAUAACCAAUAAACGUUAAGAACGUCACCUCCCCACCCCUCUGGAAUUCCAAAGGGAGAAAUUUCUGGCCUGGGGACGUCCCCGGUUGUCCCCAUCAGGUAGGGAACUUCCGGAAACGCCUCCACUCCCCGAACAAUGGAAGGCUCCCUCCCUCCCCAACCUAUCCCGGGAGCCGAGGAAAGUGGUAUCAUGGAAGACACUUGAGACCCUCGUCCACCCGGAGGUGGCACCAGAGGAAUCUACGCAGCAAGCGUAGAUUGAGGAGCCCUUGUCUCCUGUUUUUAAUCUGAUUUUCCUUUCACAGUCUCUGCCUCUAAAGAGUCUAGUUCUUGUGUCUUCGGCCUUUCCCCUGUCCUAAAAUUGCACUGCUCUUUGUAGAAGUCAUUCCUCCCCCUACCUCCCAUGUGCCACACUUUUAAUAAACUAUUUUUCUCCUCUUAAUCUUUGUUUAGAGAUUCUGGCCAAGAACUGUCCCUCCCUCACCCUAUCUUAAGAUACUCGGCACAUUGCCUGUGGUGUACAUUAAAUCUACUUGAGAAAACAUUGUUUGAUCUGUUCUUCCCCGGAGCUUCCUGUCCCCUCUUCCCUAUCAGGCUUCC
rnacentral:lncRNA from 1 species